rnacentral:rRNA from 1 species
AGAGUUUGAUCAUGGCUCAGAACGUACGCUGGCGGCACGCCUAACACAUGCAAGUCGAACGCAGUAGCAAUACUGAGUGGCAAACGGGUGAGUAUAAUGUGGGAAUCUGCCUUUUGGUUUGGAAUAACACGGGGAAACUUGUGCUAAUACCGAAUAAGCCUUUACAGGGAAAGUUUUAACGCCGAAAGAUGAGCCCGCACUUGAUUAGCUAGUUGGUAAGGUAAAAGCUUACCAAGGCAACGAUCAAUAGCUGUUCUUAGAGGAAGACCAGCCACAUUGGGACUGAGACACGGCCCAGACUCCUACGGGAGGCAGCAGUGGGGAAUCUUGCACAAUGGGGGAAACCCUGAUGCAGCGAUGCCGCGUGAGUGAAGAAGGCCUUUGGGUUGUAAAACUCUUUCGUCGGGGAAGAAAAUGACUGUACCCGAAUAAGAAGGUCCGGCUAACUUCGUGCCAGCAGCCGCGGUAAUACGAAGGGACCUAGCGUAGUUCGGAAUUACUGGGCUUAAAGAGCUCGUAGGUGGUUAAAAAAGUUGAUGGUGAAAUCCCAAGGCUCAACCUUGGAACUGCCAUCAAAACUUUUUAGCUAGAGUGUGAUAGAGGUAAGUGGAAUUUCUAGUGUAGAGGUGAAAUUCGUAGAUAUUAGAAAGAACACCAAAUGCGAAGGCAACUUACUGGGUCACAACUGACACUGAGGAGCGAAAGCAUGGGUAGCGAAGAGGAUUAGAUACCCUCGUAGUCCAUGCCGUAAACGAUGUGUGCUAGACGUUGGAAAUAUAUUUUUCAGUGUCGCAGCGAAAGCAUUAAGCACACCGCCUGGGGAGUACGACCGCAAGGUUAGAACUCAAAUGAAUUGACGGGGACCCGCACAAGCAGUGGAGCAUGUGG